UUUUGAAUAAUAAUUAUGCAAGAAAAGAAAUGGUAGACUGAACCAUAUAAAUAUUUUUAUUAUAUAUGUGACUGCAUCGUGACUAUAGGUCAACCAAGGUCGGAUCUUAAGGUACCUAAGUAAUCUAGUCGGGAUAUUCAACCUCUAUCUUUAUGUGAAAACCAAAUCCUGAACCUUAUGGUAUGAACAGAGAUACUCAUACUUCUUUUAUGGAUAAGGCUAACAAAAAUGCAGUUAACAAAUAUGAACUCCUGAGGCCUUCCUAUUGUCAUUAAGUACACGUGUGGGGAUCUAAUAAUAGGUCUCUGAUCAGUCAUAGUAUGCAUGUGUUCCUUGCCUUAAUAGUUGCACACACUCAAUAUGAAAAUACAUGUGCAUUUGCUUAGAAAAGAAAGUAAUAGAAUAAAUCAAAUGCAAAAAC
rnacentral:lncRNA from 1 species